rnacentral:rRNA from 1 species
CACACCGCCCGUCACACCAUGGGAGUUGGUUUUACCUGAAGGCAGUGCGCUAACCCGCAAGGGAGGCAGCUGACCACGGUAGGAUCGGCGACUGGGGUG